CCUACGGGAGGCAGCAGUGAGGAAUAUUGGUCAAUGGGCGAGAGCCUGAACCAGCCAAGUAGCGUGAAGGAUUACUGCCCUAUGGGUUGUAAACUUCUUUUAUAUGGGAAUAAAAUGUUCCACGUGUGGGAUUUUGUAUGUACCAUAUGAAUAAGGAUCGGCUAACUCCGUGCCAGCAGCCGCGGUAAUACGGAGGAUCCGAGCGUUAUCCGGAUUUAUUGGGUUUAAAGGGAGCGUAGGUGGAUUGUUAAGUCAGUUGUGAAAGUUUGCGGCUCAACCGUAAAAUUGCAGUUGAUACUGGCAGUCUUGAGUACAGUAGAGGUAGGCGGAAUUCGUGGUGUAGCGGUGAAAUGCUUAGAUAUCACGAAGAACUCCGAUUGCGAAGGCAGCUCACUGGACUGCAACUGACACUGAGGCUCGAAAGUGUGGGUAUCAAACAGGAUUAGAUACCCUUGUAGUC
rnacentral:rRNA from 1 species